rnacentral:rRNA from 1 species
GCCGCGUGAGUGAUGAAGGCCUUCGGGUUGUAAACCUCUUUCGACCGGGACGAUAAUGACGGUACCCGUAGAAGAAGCUCCGGCUAACUUCGUGCCAGCAGCCGCGGUAAUACGAAGGGGGCAAGCGUUGUUCGGAAUUACUGGGCGUAAAGGGCGCGUAGGCGGUUCUCCAAGUCAGGUGUGAAAUCUCCGGGCUCAACUCGGAGGCUGCACUCGAAACUGUAGGGCUUGAGUAUGGGAGAGGUGAGUGGAAUUCCCGGUGUAGCGGUGAAAUGCGUAUAUAUCGGGAGGAACACCUGUGGCGAAGGCGGCUCACUGGACCAUUACUGACGCUGAGGCGCGAAAGCGUGGGGAGCAAACAGGAUUAGAUACCCUGGUAGUCCACGCCCUAAACGAUGAUUGCUUGCUGUG